rnacentral:rRNA from 1 species
AACGAACGCUGGCGGCGUGGAUAAGACAUGCAAGUCGAGCGCUGGUUGCAGGGUAGCAAUAUUCUGCAAUCGGAGCGGCGCAAGGGUGCGUAACACGUGGGCAAUCUGCCGUGAAGUUUGGGAUAAUUCCGCGAAAGCGGGACUAAUACCGGAUGUGGCAACUGGGAGGCAUCUUCUGGUUGCUAAAGUUGGGGACCGCAAGGCCUGACGCUUCACGAUGAACCCGCGGCCUAUCAGCUAGUUGGUGAGGUAACGGCUCACCAAGGCAAAGACGGGUAGCUGGUCUGAGAGGACGACCAGCCACACUGGAACUGAGACACGGUCCAGACACCUACGGGUGGCAGCAGUCGAGAAUUUUUCACAAUGGGCGCAAGCCUGAUGGAGCGACGCCGCGUGGGGGAUGAAUGGCUUCGGCCCGUAAACCCCUGUCAUUCGCGAUCAAACGUUGGUAUUUAAAGAUGCCAGCCUGAUAGUAGCGGAAGAGGAAGGGACGGC